rnacentral:rRNA from 1 species
UACGUAGGUGGCAAGCGUUGUCCGGAUUUACUGGGCGUAAAGGAUGCGUAGGCGGAUGUUUAAGUCAGAUGUGAAAGCCCCGGGCUCAACCUGGGAAUUGCAUUUGAGACUGCGUAGCUAGGGUGCGGAAGAGGGAAGCGGAAUUUCCGGUGUAGCGGUGAAAUGCGUAGAUAUCGGAAGGAACACCAGUGGCGAAAGCGGCUUCCUGGUCCAGCACCGACGUUCAGGCACGAAAGCGUGGGGAGCAAACAGG